CGGUCACUACACUCUGAAACACCGGUUCCCGUACGAUCGUCGAAGUUAAGCAACCUUGAGUCUGAUCAGUACCGAGAUGGGUGACAGCUUGAGAAUACCAGAUGCCGUAA